rnacentral:lncRNA from 1 species
GUGGGGUGAGGGAGAGGUGGGGGUACAAGUAAAAAAAAUAUUUUUCUUUUUUUGUAUUAAAAAUUAUUUUUAAAAAAUAAAUAAUAUAGAGGUGGGGUGGAGUGAGGUAUUAACAAUUUAGUUUUGAUUUAAUAUUUUUUUACUUUAGAAAAUUAAAGUGGGUUACAAUCAUUUUAUCCAAACCAUAUUUGACCAAAUCCAUAUUUACUCAUAUUUUAUUGGGUGGAUUGUGAUCCAAUCCAUUUUAACUCAAUUCAUAUUCAAUCCAUCCAAAUCAGAUUCAAU